AGAAAGUUAGUCUAACCAAGACAGUUGAUUUCGACUCAACAGAUUAUAGCUUUCACCCUAUAACUUUCUA
rnacentral:tRNA from 1 species